UGAUUCUGAUAAUUUGAUAAAGAAUGCAUGUAUAAAAGACGAUUAUAUCCUAAACUAUUAUCGUUGAUCCAAAACCAGCCGAGCCAAAAAAUGAAACUGUUAAUCGCCCUCGCCGCCCUCGUGGCCGUCUCGGUCGCCGUGCCCUUCAAGCCGGCAGACAGUCUGGAUGCCGAGCUGGACGCCAUCGUCGCCGCCAUCCAGAGCCCUAACACCGACCCUGCCACCGCCGCCCUUCUGGAACAACAGCUCCACGAGAUCAUCGCCGCCCUUUCCCCCGAAAUCGUCGCCUCCCCCAUCCUCGUCGAAGAAGAGGCUCAAGGACCCCAAGUGCCCGACGUCAUCCCCGAAAUCAUCAACAUCCCCGACUUGGGAGAACCCAGCCCCAUCGUGGUUCCUACCCCCGUCGCUCCCUCCAGCUCGGCCCUCGUUCAGAUCAUCGUGAACGUAAAGAACUCCGCUGACGUCGGCGUCGCCCCUAUCGUGCCUGCCCCCAUCGUGGUUUCUCCCAUUGAGGCUUCCCCCAUCCAGGUUGUGGAGGAAUCCUUCGACAACAACCCCAUCGAGGCUUCCCCCAUCCAGAUUGUGGACGUCGCUCCCGUCCCUGCGGAGCCCGUGCUCAUCGCUGAACCGAUUGCCCCAAUUCCCGUUGUCAACAUCCCUGGCAUCGGAUACUAAACGACUUUAACUGGACUGUAAAAGGAAAGAAUUAAGAACUCAGUCCACUGGAGUGACUGGAGGAGUCUGAAAACGUUACUCAACACCACAAAGCACAACUUCUUUAUUUUUAGUAAAUAUAUUUUAAUAUUUUUGUAAAUAA